CCCUAAACCCCCUCUCCCGUCCUCCUUUGCAUUUCUUCCCAAGCAUCAACCUUUCGAAUCUCUGUGGAUACUAAGCUAGCAAUCUUUGCUCUUAUCGAUCUGUUGCAAAGGUUAUUGUUCAUCAUGGGAUCUUAUUGUUUGUGAUUCAGAAGAAGUGAGAUCUUAUCAGAAAAUCUGUUAAUGGGAACUGAAGAGACAAAGGACCCCCUGAAAGGGGUUGAUUGGAAAGCAAUUGGUAGUGAGUUGCAGAAGGACCCUAGUGCUGAAAAAGCGGCUUCCAAAGAAAAUUAGGCAAAUUCCGGAUUGUUAUUUCCUUCCUCGGAUGUCCGUUCCUUCUGCCAUUGCCUUCUAUGGAGCGUGCAUUGCCGGCGGCAUUGGUACAGGAAUGCUACUCAAGGUCUGGAUAAAAAAGAAAAUUAAAGAGGAUGGAGGUGUAAUAUGGGAAUUUGACAAAUAAUGCUUCAUAUCAUUAGAAGAGUUCCUCAUCUUCCCCAUGGUGAGUUUGAACACGGCUGUCAUUUUGCCUGAAUUUUGAUAUGCAAACAGCU